UGAGCGAAUGCUUGUUAUUGUUAGUUACAUUUAUUGCUCAGCGGCAGCUGACGGUGGUGCGUUUCAGCCUCAGCUAGCCGGGGUUAGCUAGUUGUGACGGACAGAGAGGCGGUGAGAAGAAGAGACAAAAAGAAAAGAGAAAACCUUUUAUUUAAAUACUAAAAAAUGAAAAGGGGCUGCACCCUUUAAAAAAUAAAUUUAAUGACAUCUUUUAGGGUUAAAAGAAAGUGGAAGCAUAACAUUCUCUCAUUUUAAAUCAUUGGAAAUAUUAAUUUUGUGGGAUGGGCAAUGUUACCUCUCAGUUGCUUCAGAAUGGGAACAGUUGCUAAUCUGUGCUUGAAUGUCCAUCAAAAAAGCAACUCCAAAUCAUUUAAAAUGAUCUUCAGCUGCUACUUUGAGUCUUAAUUUGUGCACAUCUGAGCUUGUCUCUUAAACUGUGGGCAUUAUGGACAUGUUUACCAGUUACAUACUGAAAAAUGAACAGUUGGACUUGACUUUUCUUUGCAUUAAUGUGAACUCCCACCCACCCACAUUUUCCUGAAAUUUGGAAAUAUUCCAGUAUUGGUAUUUGGGUGGCAUGAGUGAUACAGAUGACAUGUUUUGUGUACAUGGCUGAUAGGAGUUGUGUGUCAUUCCUAAUUAGAAAGCAGCCAGUAGCGAUGUUUUUUGACUGCAGAUUCUGCAAAAACUGGUGAUGUGUGCUUUUUGUGCUCAUUUUUAAUCCAUAUUGCACCUAUUUGUAUUUUUUCCUGUUGAAUAUCUGUUCAUCACUUCGAGUUUGCGAGUCUGUUCAGAAUAAGCAAGUUCUAAUGAGAGUUGUUGAAAUUUAAUGUGUCUUGAUUUCGGGAGUAACUGCCCUGUUCCUCACAAACCAUGAUUUGCCUUCAUCACAAAUGAGAUAUGCAGCAUUGAGCUUUGUGCGAUUUGUGCUCUUGCCUUUGGUGUGUCAUUG